rnacentral:rRNA from 1 species
CUCCUGUCAGCAGGGAAAAAGACGACUUGACCUCAUACGUCAGGGAGUUGAUUGUACCUGCAGAGGAAGCCCCGGCUAACUCUGUGC